UACGGGGGGGGCAAGCGUUGUUCGGAAUUACUGGGCGUAAAGGGCGCGUAGGCGGCCUUCUAAGUCGAACGUGAAAUCCCUGGGCUCAACCCAGGAACUGCGUCCGAUACUGGAAGGCUUGAAUCCGGGAGAGGGAUGCGGAAUUCCGGGUGUAGCGGUGGAAUGCGUAGAGAUCCGGAAGAACACCGGUGGCGAAGGCGGCCUGCUGGGCAGUUGCUGACACUGAGGCGCGACAGCGUGGGGAGCAAACAGG
rnacentral:rRNA from 1 species